rnacentral:rRNA from 1 species
GGUAACAGGUUUCUUCGGAGACGCUGACGACCGGCGCACGGGUGAGUAACGCGUAUGAAACCUUCCUUCAACAGGAGAAUAGCUCCCGGAAACGGGAAUUAAUGCUCCAUAAAGUUAUAGAUACACAUGUAUUUAUAAUUAAAGCUGAGGCGGUUGAAGAUGGUCAUGCGUACCAUUAGUUAGUUGGUAGGGUAACGGCCUACCAAGACAGCGAUGGUUAGGGGUCCUGAGAGGGUUUUCCCCCACACUGGUACUGAGACACGGACCAGACUCCUACGGGAGGCAGCAGUGAGGAAUAUUGGUCAAUGGGCGCUAGCCUGAACCAGCCAUGCCGCGUGCAGGAUGACUGCCCUAUGGGUUGUAAACUGCUUUUCUGUGGGAAGAAAAGUAUAGAUUUGUUCAAUACUUGACGGUACCACAGGAAUAAGCAUCGGCUAACUCCGUGCCAGCAGCCGCGGUAAUACGGAGGAUGCAAGCGUUAUCCGGAUUCAUUGGGUUUAAAGGGUGCGCAGGCGGGGUAGCAAGUCAGUGGUGAAAGCCCGGAGCUUAACUUCGGGAUUGCCAUUGAAACUGUUACUCUUGAGUACAGUCGGAGACGGCGGAAUGAGUUAUGUAGCGGUGAAAUGCAUAGAUAUAACUCAGAACACCGAUCGCGAAGGCAGCUGUCUAGGCUGAGACUGACGCUGAGGCACGAAAGCGUGGGGAGCGAACAGGAUUAGAUACCCUGGUAGUCCACGCUGUAAACGAUGAUCACUCGCUGUUGGCGAUAUACAGUCAGCGGCUGAGCGAAAGCAUUAAGUGAUCCACCUGGGGAGUACGUCGGCACGAUGAAACUCAAAGGAAUUGACGGGGGCCCGCACAAGCGGAGGACAUGUGGUUUAUUCGAUGAUACGCGAGGAACUUACUGGGCUAAUGUAGAGUGCAUGAAGGGAAACUUUCUUCUCGGACUCUCUACAAGUGCUGCAUGGUG